rnacentral:rRNA from 1 species
GACGAACGCUGGCGGCGUGCUUAACACAUGCAAGUCGAACGGUAAGGCCCUUCGGGGUACACGAGUGGCGAACGGGUGAGUAACACGUGGGUGAUCUGCCCUGCACUUCGGGAUAAGCCUGGGAAACUGGGUCUAAUACCGGAUAGGACUCCUGGCUUCAUGGUUGGGGGUGGAAAGCUUUUGCGGUGUGGGAUGGGCCCGCGGCCUAUCAGCCUGUUGGUGGGGUAAUGGCCUACCAAGGCGACGACGGGUAGCCGGCCUGAGAGGGUGACCGGUCACACUGGGACUGGGGUACGGCCCAGACUCGUACGGGAGGCAGCAGUGGGGAAUAUUGCACAAUGGGCGCAAGCCUGAUGCAGCGACGCCGCGUGAGGGAUGACGGCCUUCGGGUUGUAAACCUCUUUCAGCUAUGACGAAGCGCAAGUGACGGUAGUAGCAGAAGAAGGACCGGCCAACUACGUGCCAGCAGCCGCCGUAA